rnacentral:rRNA from 1 species
GGUAACAAUUAAAAACUGUAUGGUUUUUAAUUUAAAGUUCCGGCGGUUAAAGAUGGGCAUGCGUGGCAUUAGUUAGUUGGUGAGGUAACGGCUCACCAAGGCAACGAUGCCUAGGGGUUCUGAGAGGAUUUUCCCCCACACUGGCACUGAGAUACGGGCCAGACUCCUACGGGAGGCAGCAGUGAGGAAUAUUGGUCAAUGGCCGAGAGGCUGAACCAGCCAUGCCGCGUGCAGGAUGACUGUUCUAUGAGUUGUAAACCGCUUUUCUACAGGAAGAAACCUACUUACGUGUAAGUAGCUGCCGGUACUGUAGGAAUAAGCACCGGCUAACUCCGUGCUAGCAGCCGCGGUAAUACGGAGGGUGCAAGCGUUAUCCGGAUUUAUUGGGUUUAAAGGGUGCGUAGGCGGGUUAUUAAGUCAGUGGUGAAAUCCUUCGGCUCAACCGAAGAAUUGCCAUUGAAACUGAUAGCCUUGAAUGCAGUUGAGGCAGGCGGAAUGUAUAAUGUAGCGGUGAAAUGCUUAGAUAUUAUACAGAACACCGAUUGCGAAGGCAGCUUGCUAAACUGUGAUUGACGCUGAUGCACGAAAGCGUGGGUAGCGAACAGGAUUAGAUACCCUGGUAGUCCACGCUGUAAACGAUGAUCACUGGUUGUUUGCGAUAUAUUGUAAGCGACUGAGCGAAAGCAUUAAGUGAUCCACCUGGGGAGUACGUCGGCAACGAUGAAACUCAAAGGAAUUGACGGGGGCCCGCACAAGCGGAGGAACAUGUGGUUUAAUUCGAUGAUACGCGAGGAACCUUACCUGGGUUUAAAUGUAAGUUGCAUAGGGGGGAAACUUCCUUUUCCUACGGGACUACUUACAAGGUGCUGCAUGGUUGUCGUCAGCUCGUGCCGUGAGGUGUCGGGUUAAGUCCCAUAACGAGCGCAACCCCUAUCGUUAGUUGCCAUCAGGUAAAGCUGGGGACUCUAACGAGACUGCCGGUGUAAACCGUGAGGAAGGUGGGGAUGACGUCAAAUCAGCACGGCCCUUAUAUCCAGGGCUACACACGUGUUACAAUGGCCAGUACAAAGGGCAGCCACUUGGCGACAAGGCGCUAAUCCCCAAAACUGGCCACAGUUCGGAUCGAAGUCUGCAACUCGACUUCGUGAAGUUGGAUUCGCUAGUAAUCGCGCAUCAGCCACGGCGCGGUGAAUACGUUCCCGGGCCUUGUACACACCGCCCGUCAAGCCAUGG